AACCCUAACUUCAGCUUCCCAUUUCUAUCACCACCAUUAACAGCGUCAUCAACAUCUAAAACCUCUUAAUCCCUUAACAACCACAAGUAUAUCGAUUGGGUUUCUUCAUCUUAAACGAUUUCUACGGUUUCACAAUCUCUUCAAUGUUUUCUUACUUUCUCAAAUAGGUGUACUACGAAACCUAAUUUUCACUCAGCGAUGUAGAAGCAAAGGGGUUUUAUCGUUCGAAGAUUUUGGUUAGAAAUUGAAGCUGUUCCUUACAUGAUGCACUUCGGGAUAGUAAAAGAGAUGUUUGUUUCCUAAAAAGAUUAUGACAUUUGAAAAGGUUGCUUAAAAAGGUUAAAAAGAUGCUAGUGAAGGAAUUUAGAUGUUUAUUGGUAUAAGGUUAUCUGAGAGUCCUGGAAUGGGUUUAAAUUUGAUUAGAACUUUACUGAAACUUAGAUUUUUCAUUUUCAUACGUUUUGAUUAGAUUUAUCCAAAGCCCAGACAGUAUUUGUGUUUUUAGUUGGAUUCAUGAAAAGGGUUUUGCUCAUUUUUGAAUCUUGUAUUUUGGUUUUGUUCAAUCUUAGAUUUUUAUGUUAGGGUUUAGGUGAAAGCCUGUGAUGCAAGGAUAAUAUUUGCCACUCUGGAUGGGGGUAGUUAACCCCUUUGCUGAUUAUUUAUCCACCAAGAUUUACGAGGCUUCACAUGCUUCAUAUCAUCACUAUUUAUUUAUUUUUUUUGUUUUUUUUUUGUUCAGUUAAUUUCUUGCCCUGUUUCGGUUAGAACUGAUUUCCAAGUUGAUUUACAUUUUGAUGCUUUCGUUGUCGUGUUGUAUGGUUGGAUGGUUAGCGAUUUAGGGUUGUUAGUCAAACUGUUGACUAUUUUUGGAUUGUCCAUAUGUAGAUUAGGUUAUGGUUUGUUGAAGCCAGUGAUGUAAGAAUAAUAUUUGCUACUCUUGAUCGGGGAUAUAACCCCUUCUGAUGAUUAUCCUACUUGGUUUACAUAUGAAGUUUAUGAUAAAUUGUUAGCUCAAUUGACAUGGGGCAUGUUCCAUGAUCGAUUUCAAGCAAAAUGUGCCAUGGGUUUUAAAUUGGGCGUAAAGUAAUCUAGGGGCUGACUUACAUUGUGCCUUUUGCCAUGCUCAGCUUGAUAGCAGUUCUGAAUCGAAACAAUGUCGCUCUUUCUGUAUGAAAUACUGCAGGGAUGAGUGUCCAGUUAUAUUUACCAAUUGCCGACUGUGUGUGUGCAUGUGUGCAUGCGUUUAUUAUUUUUUUUUAUAAACUAUUGGGCAUGUUUCAGUAUUAGAAUUUCGAUGUAGUAUAAUUGAACAAUAGCACAAAGGAUGCUUUUAAUGAUUUCAUUAUAUAUAAUUCUUGGCUGGCGUCUUUCUAGGUUUUUCUGUCUGGCUUAAUAGUGGAGCAGACACGUGAAGCUCUUGAAGUGGACAUUGCCAACAAGUUUAUUGGUGGUGGAAGGAGUUCCAAGUCACGAUUUAUAGGUUCUCUUUGGAUUCUAUAUCUGUAAAUUGCUUGCAUUUCGAGGAAAUUAGUUCUCUGCUGCAUAUAAACAAAAUAAGAUGCAGGUUCCACAGGUGAUUCUAUUCUAUAAGGAAGUUCAACUGUUGCCAAAUACUGUAAGGUUUACUCUCUCGAACUCUUAUGCAGUCAUUUUUGACACUUACGAGAACGUAAAUUUCAAUUGCUCAUAGUUUAAGUUAGAAUUCAUUAGAUGGUACUGGUAGUAAUUGUCAAAUGUCACUCUAUAAGGUUGUGUAUUAAGGUGCAAGAAAAUCAAUUCAAUCUCUUUAGAUAGGGGCUUUGGACCAGGUCAAAGGAAUCCUGUUUUUGCUUUUAUCUCCUUGAAACUCAGACUUCAGAUGAGAGAAAUUCACUUUGUUGGAUUCCUAAGCAAACUUCUGGAAACCAAAAUCAUGCAAGUUCUCCGCUUCAAGCAUGGACAUAUUUACUCAGUGGGUGUUUCUGUAUUUCUUGGUGGUAACAAGCCUUCAAGAACUGGGGAUGUGCAUGGUGAUAUCAGUGUUAACUUGUGAUCCUGACAUCUCAUUGAAACCGGUAUGCCUCUGUUUGAACGAUAAAAAUCUUUUAUCAAGUUUUGUGUUGAAUGUUUUGCUGCUGGAAGCUCUAGUUCUUCCGGAACUUUGGUGAUACCAGCGCCAAAUCCAAUUCCCCAAGCUCCAUACGCUCCUGUUAACCCAAACCUCAAGCGUGUUUCCUCAUGUGGUGAGAAAAGGGAAAAGCGUGGAAGUGGUAGCGGUCAGCCUUCUGCACCCAACCAUGGCUCCCCAGUUAGCGGGAUGAUUGGAGGAAAUUCUUCUGUAGCUGCGCCUGUUGCUGGAUACUGGGGUGUUCCUCCAUUUAUAAGGAGCUAUAGCCACUUUGACAACACUGGUCGUGUGUGCCACAAGGGUGUGCGAUGUGAUGAUUGCGGGGUACAUCCUAUUACAGGACCUCGGUUUAAGUCCAAAGUCGCCCUUUUGCUCAAGGUCCAGCUCCACCCAGCCCGUAUCUACCACAUAUCUUGCAAGGCCGUGGGAAGAAGCAACAGCUCCCAUAUCUUCAGUGCCAUUUCAUUCAAGACGUGAACAUUCAACUAAUCAUCACCUGCACAUCCUUACAGGUGAGACUUUUAUGUAGGUUGACCUUGUUUUGGAUGAAAUAUUGCGUUUUCAGGAAGAAGGCCUAUCAGAUCAAGAUGUUCCGACUAUCCUUGAAAUCGAGUAAUGUGCCCAUGAAAACGCGUUGCAGGAUUCUUCAAAACUACCAAUCGCGAGUCUAUUUUGGAUCUUAGUGUUUCUUUCAAGACUCAAGAUGAUGGACAAGAUGAAGUCAGAGGAUCUUUAAAACCAUUAACAUCACAAUUAUCAUUACAACGCACACUGCCUUUCCCCUGCAGAAAGCAGUACAGUGUAGUGAUUCUAAAGCCCCAAGCCUCACGCUUAAGGCGGCUUAAAUCUCUAUACUGCUCUACAAUAAACAAGUAUAGUACAAACACAAAGGCCGAUUUCACCCAGUCAUAAGCAGUUCUUGAAUCUACAUUUAAGUCUUGUAUAUUGUCUUAUCUACUACUUUAGCUGCAGUUUGUAUAUAUUCAAGGCUAAAUCUUGGUGUGCUCUACUAUGAGAUAGCUUUGUGUUCGACAAAAUGUAGUCACAAGUGCAAUACAAUAAACACGCAGUUUCUUUCCCUUUCUUUUGUAAAUGUACUUGAUGUUUAAACGUGUAUCAUUAAACAUCUCAAUAUUAAUAUUAUUGGUGAAGAAUUGGAUUGAUCGAA